UACGAGGGGGGCAAAUGUUGUUCGGAAUCACUGGGCGUAAAGGGAGCGUAGGCGGGUUUCUAAGUCAGGUGUUUAAUCCCGGGGCCCAACCCCGGACAGGCACUUGAAACUGGGAAUCUUGAAUAGUGGAGAGGUCAGUGGAAUUGGGGUGUAGCGGUGGAAUGCGUAGAGAUCCCAAGAACACCAGUUGCGAAGGCGGCUGACUGGACACAUAUUGACGCUGAGGCUCGAAAGCAUGGGAGCAACAGG
rnacentral:rRNA from 1 species